AAGCACACCAUUCAUUACUAGGUGCUCGGCAACAGGCCCGGCAGGUCAGUCCGGCUGCUUCUCUCAGCUUUUAUUCCUUGAGCUGCUUGCACUCUGACAAGACGUUGGCUUUUCUUCCCUGACGCGUCCCAUACUCAGAAGCUGACAUGACGUCCAAGAUGGUUUUCAAGCAGCCGCAGCCUGUUAUGGUUCACCAAGAAUCCAACGAGUGGGGCAGCCGCAUCUGCGACUGCUGCAACGACGUACCCAUGUGCUGCUGCGGGUGCUGGUGCUUACCUUGCUUCGCAUGCAUGACGGCCAAGAAGUACGGCGAGUGCCUCUGCCUCCCCCUGGUGGACUAUCUGGUCAGCCCGAUAGUGCCUCCUGUCACCAUGUCCACCAGGGUGUCCAUGCGCCAGUUGUACGGCAUACGGGGCUCCAUGUUCAACGAUUGCGUGUGCGCCACUUUCUGCACGGCGUGCGUUUGGUGCCAGAUGGCGCGCGAGAUGAAGGCGCGGGCCAUCGAUAUCGUGCUGGUGAACAAGCACAGCAAGACGCUGGCCUAACAACAGCGCCCCCUUACGGAAAGAAAAGUUUGUGCACUGAUUGAUUGAUUUCCCUUUUUGCUUGAGACACUUUUAAAUACACUACUGUAUUUUUAAACAUUUCAUUGCUACAUUUCUUUCUUCAGAAAGGAUUUAUGGCAUUUAAAUGUGUUUCGAUGGGGAACAUUGAUUUUUUUUCCAUGAUGUCACUCGUUUGGCCACGCCCCUUCAUGAUUUCACUCUAACCCUAAAAGUAUGGUUCUCUAACCAAAGCACCAUCUGCGUACGGACGCGUUGGUCCACUUGCUAAAUAUUUACUAGAUUAAAAAAAAGAAAUCAGAUGAAAUCGACAAACUAAAAUGUUCUUUUUGAGCGAUGCAUUAUGGGCUAUUUUCCUUUUAGAGCAGCAUAGCCACAAAGUGAUUCCUAACACGGCCAGUGAGUCACAUCCAUUUGAUUUGAGUGAUUGAGCAACCAAUGACCAAUGAAUGAAUGAAUGAACGAAUGAACGAAGGAACGAAGGAACGAAUGAAUGAACGAAUGAAUGACACUCUCUCACUAACAUCUUCAUGCACAACUGAUGUCCUUUUGUAAAUGGAUUUUCAUGAAUGAAUCCCAGACAGUCUGUUUUCAUUUGAUUAUUACCCAAAUGUUUAAUGGGUACUUUUAUGUUAUGUUUAUGUUGCCUCUAAAUAUUUAUCAUUGUAUAAUUAUUAUUACACAUCAUAUAAA